UGGGAUGAGGUGCGGUUGCCAACUUGUACUAUGUAUAAUAUAUCUGUGUGUGUGUGUGUGCGUGUGUGUGCACGUAUAAUACGUUGUGUACGAAGUCGCGCGCACGUUGUAUGUACACGAAACACGGUUUAAUGAUUUAGUAGAGCGACGACCUCUGACCCUGCAACAGGCGUCGGCGUCGACCCGACUAGCAACAGGACUCUGCUGUAACCAGUGGGUCCCUGGAUCCGGCCUCGGUUCUCGAAUUGUAAUCCGUUUUUUUUUUUUUCUCUCUCCACCUUUUUUUUCAUUCAUUUCUUUUUUUCUCUCGGCUGUAAUUCAUCUCGAGUCCGUAUCACGAUCGAUUCGAGAAUCGUUGUUAGCUAGCGUUGUAAAGAAUUGAUGAAACACGAGAAGCGACGCAACUCUGAAAACCAUGAGAUAUAACUUUCAGGCGUCCGGGGAUGGCGAGCUCCGAGAAAAUUGGGGAUUUUUCCGUCAUUUUUCGAAGGACGUUAUGCCGAAUGGGAGGACCGAAAUUCACCGCGAACGCGAUAGACUUCUGUAAUUACGAUGAUCGAUUUGAAUAUUUUCAGGUGGCUCGUAAUACCCGUUAACAAGGAUCGUCGAAGGGGUUAAAAAAUUUUCAGAUUUUACCGGUAACGCACAUGAUGAAUAUGGAGUCGGAGCAAACUUGGCGUGAAAUUGCGUUAGGCGUUCAGAUUCCCCGGAGUGUGAAGAGCGUCGACCAAGGUGAUUGAGCAACGUCGAGCGAAUGGAAGCGAAGAGGAGAAGAGAGGAGACGAGGAGAGGAAAACUCUCCCGACGCCAAGGAGACUCCCCAGGGAUAACUUCGUUACAGGGGUACAACCCGGAUUGAGUCAGCUGAUGAAAAAAGUGCAGAAAUCCACAGAGGGCACCCGCGUGACGGAGAGGAAUAAAAAAGAAGAUCGAAGAGCGAAACUGGGGAAGAAGUGUUUUUCCCCAAACCACGAAAACAACUCGAGAAGGGAGG